GAAGUCAUAAUAUUAAAAGAAGCAGCUGAUUAUACUCAAGGCAUACGCCGACUCAAAAAAGCAUAUACAAACUUAGUCAUUUCUAGUACUGAUUGUGAAGAAGCAAGUACAAAUGUUAAUUCUGACAUUAUGGUUUUCAAUGAAAAAGAGAAUUUAUCUGUAUUAAAUGAUGUACCACCGUAUGUUCCUGCUAAGUCUGUAUUGAAGGAUAUAAAUAAUAAGACAAAACAUCAUAGUAAUAACGAUUGUUGUGCACAAUUAAUGGAU